rnacentral:misc_RNA from 1 species
GUUGAGUCUGAUGAGGAACUUUCUAUAGUAACUGGAGCCCAAUUGCAAGUUGAGAAUUGUGGAUUUAAAAAUAUUCUCUUCUUACGAUUGCGAUUCUCGACUGUGUCGGGAGCUGCGGCUGUAAAGCAUCCAGAAUGGGAUGGAUCACCUGGGUUGGCACCUAAAUCUGGCCUCAUAUCAACAUUAAUCAGCCAUCGGUUCACAUCAGUGCAGAAGCCACCUCCAAGACCAGCUGAUGUGAAUAUAAAUUCAGCUGUGUACCCUGGGGGCCCCCCAGUGCCCGUUCAAGUCCCCAAGCUUCUUAAGUUUGUUGACACAACAGAGAUGACGAGAGGGCCCCAGGAAACUCCUGGCUAUUGGGUUGUUUCUGGGGCUAGACUAGUUGUUGAGAAAGGUAGGAUUUCUCUCCGGGUUAAGUAUUCCUUGUUGACUGCAGUAUUACCUGAUGAAGAUUUGGAACCAGAAAACUAGCAGAAUUCAUCAUCCCAACUCCACCCAAUUGAACAAAGGUGAAAAGUACAGAAGUUGCAAAGUGGGAAGAACGGCAAAAGUUAUUGGCACUAAGGUUGCAAAUGCAGGAAGGUGCAAAAUGGAAAUAAUGAUUGAUUGGGAAGCAGUUGGCAAAUUGUUGUUGUAAUUUGUUCUGAUCACUGAUUUUUCCCCUGUAAUGUAAUUUUGCUUCCAUUGUAGAUUCCCCAUUUUGGUGCCUUCAAUCUUAUAACAAGGUAUUUUACAUCCUCA